rnacentral:rRNA from 1 species
CCUACGGGUGGCAGCAGUGAGGAAUAUUGGUCAAUGGCCGUAAGGCUGAACCAGCCAUGCCGCGUGAAGGAAGAAGGAUCUAUGGUUUGUAAACUUCUUUUAUAGGGGAAUAAAGGUAUCCACGUGUGUAUAUUUGCAUGUACCCUAUGAAUAAGCAUCGGCUAACUCCGUGCCAGCAGCCGCGGUAAUACGGAGGAUGCGAGCGUUAUCCGGAUUUAUUGGGUUUAAAGGGUGCGUAGGUGGUUUUUUAAGUCAGAGGUGAAAGUUUGUGGCUUAACCAGAAAAUUGCCGUUGAUACUGGAAGACUUGAGUGUGUUUGAGGUAGGCGGAAUGCGUGGUGUAGCGGUGAAAUGCAUAGAGAUCACGCAGAACACCGAUUGCGAAGGCAGCUUACUAAGCCAUAACUGACACUGAGGCACGAAAGCGUGGGGAUCAAACAGGAUUAGAUACCCUGGUAGUC